GGGGAAUUUUCCGCAAUGGGCGAAAGCCUGACGGAGCAAUACCGCGUGAGGGAGGAAGGCUCUAGGGUUGUAAACCUCUUUUCUCAGGGAAGAACAAAAUGACGGUACCUGAGGAAUAAGCAUCGGCUAACUCCGUGCCAGCAGCCGCGGUAAUACGGAGGAUGCAAGCGUUAUCCGGAUUUAUUGGGCGUAAAGCGUCCGCAGGUGGCAGUUCAAGUCUGCUGUUAAAGGUCGGGGCUCAACCCCGAACAGGCAGUGGAAACUGAACAGCUAGAGUACGGUAGGGGCAGAGGGAAUUCCCAGUGUAGCGGUGAAAUGCGUAGAGAUUGGGAAGAACACCGGUGGCGAAAGCGCUCUGCUAGGCCGAAACUGACACUCAUGGACGAAAGCUAGGGGAGCGAAUGGGAUUAGAUACCCCAGUAGUCCUAGCCGUAAACGAUGGAUACUAGGCGUUGUGAGUAUCGACCCUCACAGUGUCGUAGCUAACGCGUUAAGUAUCCCGCCUGGGGAGUACGCGCGCAAGCGUGAAACUCAAAGGAAUUGACGGGGGCCCGCACAAGCGGUGGAGUAUGUGGUUUAAUUCGAUGCAACGCGAAGAACCUUACCAGGGCUUGACAUGUCGCGAAUUUCAGGGAAACUUGAGAGUGCCUUCGGGAGCGCGAACACAGGUGGUGCAUGGCUGUCGUCAGCUCGUGUCGUGAGAUGUUGGGUUAAGUCCCGCAACGAGCGCAACCCUCGUUUUUAGUUGCCAGCAUUAAGUUGGGCACUCUAGAGAGACUGCCGGUGACAAACCGGAGGAAGGUGGGGAUGACGUCAAGUCAGCAUGCCCCUUACGUCCUGGGCUACACACGUACUACAAUGCUACGGACAAAGGGCAGCAAGUUAGCGAUGACAAGCAAAUCCCAUAAACCGUGGCUCAGUUCAGAUUGCAGGCUGCAACUCGCCUGCAUGAAGGUGGAAUCGCUAGUAAUUGCAGGUC
rnacentral:rRNA from 1 species